rnacentral:rRNA from 1 species
UGGGGAAUCUUCCGCAAUGGACGAAAGUCUGACGGAGCAACGCCGCGUGUAUGAUGAAGGUCUUCGGAUUGUAAAGUACUGUCAUUGGGGAAGAACGGUUUUCUUGAAAAGAUUGAGAAGACAUGACGGUACCCAAGGAGGAAGCCCCGGCUAACUACGUGCCAGCAGCCGCGGUAAUACGUAGGGGGCAAGCGUUGUCCGGAAUUAUUGGGCGUAAAGGGCGCGUAGGCGGGCUUUUAAGUCCGGUGUGAAAGAUCAGGGCUCAACCCUGAGAGUGCAUCGGAAACUGGAGGCCUUGAGGACAGGAGAGGAAAGUGGAAUUCCACGUGUAGCGGUGAAAUGCGUAGAUAUGUGGAGGAACACCAGUGGCGAAGGCGACUUUCUGGACUGUAACUGACGCUGAGGCGCGAAAGCGUGGGGAGCAAACAGGAUUAGGAUACCCUGGUAGUCCACGCCGUAAACGAUGAGUGCUAGGUGUAGAGGGUAUCGACCCCUUCUGUGCCGCAGUUAACACAAUAAGCACUCCGCCUGGGGAGUACGGCCGCAAGGUUGAAACUCAAAUGAAUUGAC